CGGGGUGUAGCUCAGGUGGUUAGAGCGCUAUCUUGGGGUGGUAGAGGUCGCCAGUUCGAGUCUGGCCACUCCGA
rnacentral:tRNA from 1 species